rnacentral:lncRNA from 1 species
AUUUCAAUGAUAAAUAAAAGAAAUAGAGUUGACCCCUAAAACUUCAGGAUCGCACACAGGUUAUAAUACUGAAAACAGAAUAUUCUUACUAAAUGUUAUUACACACUAAAUCUCCACUAUUAGCUACAUUUUGAUUAAAAAAAACACAACUAAUAAUCCAAUGUAACUUUUAACACGAUAUCUCAAAACAAGCUGCCCCACAGUUACAGUUUACAAAACAGUUCAAACUAUACUCCCUACGUUUUCCCUAAAGUGGAACUUAGCUAGCUCGGGUCUCCUUAUCGAACACCUACGUGCCGCCCUAUGCUGACGUGUUGGCUUUGAUCCUAGCUGAAAAGGGUUGGAAACAGUAACAAGAGUGAGCAAAACAUUGCUCAACAAGAUAUAAUAUGAAUAAAGUAAUUUAAUACGCGUUGAAAUGAAAUUAUAAGCUAGGGACGCAAUUUAUACAUGAUAUAACUAAUUAAUGAUGUCCAACGUUCAUAGAAGAAAAUGAACUUAAUUGAAAAAUGAACAACAAUACUCAGGAUCUGUGUAACCACGAGAUUCAUUUAAAGCCUUUUCUUUACCAAAACUCUUUCUUUUUAUUAACUUACAUCCUUCCUUUCAACCAAUUAUUUAAUUCCAAUACUUUUCAACUAAAUUCAUAGACAAUACGGGUAAUCAGCUGCGUAAAGUCUUCCGUCCCGGGCACCGGAUCUAAGUCCCACCGGUAACGAAUCUUUCCGGGCACUGGAUCUAAGUCCCACCGGCAAUGGAUCGUUCCGGGCACUAGAUCUAAGUCCCACCGGUAACGACACUAGGUAUCAAACAGGCAUCUAACUGGCCUUCUGGCUGGACUAUCUACUAGCCUCUUACGCCAACCUUUUAUUUUCAAUUCCACGAUGCUUUAAAACUCAAUUAUUACUCAAUACAUGUUUAAAGUUUAAACUUUGUAAUACAGCUCAUGAAUUAACAAGCUCUCCCGGCUAUAAACAGAAUAUACUUUGAUUGCCAAAGUUCAAGAUAUAAGUAGAUGACACAAGAUCAUACUUAUCUCAUAGUAUCAAUCCAGGAUACCUAUAAAUCAACAGUAAUGCCAAGCUGUAAAAGAGCUCAAUUAUACCUUCAAGAAUUUGACUACAAGAUAAUGAGAACAUAUCUCUUAAAAUGCUAUCAACUAUAAUUCAUCAACUUGUUUUAAUUACAAGAAGGGAUAAAACACGUGCCGCUUUUCACUAUCAAUAUAGAAUAUGAUUACUUGUAAUAGUUACAAGUCAAGAAUAGAAUACUUGCCUGAUAUAUAGCAAAAUCUUGAAACGUGUAGACUUUACACCUUAUCUGACUGCACACACUUGCCCUUAUCCUUUGUUUCAGAACCUAUAUAAAAGACAGUGUUCAGUUGACGAGCAAUCUAAGUCGUCUUCUAAAUUACUAAUUAAAUCUAUCUGCUACCUUUCGUAUGUGCAAAUAAGUAAAAUAGAUUAUUUGCAAGUAAGCAAUUAGUAAUAGUAUAUACACGUUGCGUUACAUAAGCAGGCAUUCACUUUAAUCGGUACUAGAUCUAAUAAUAUUUAUUAUCUUAAGAUUCUCCGAGUCAAAUAAGUCAUAACACCAAAAACUAACUCAAUAUCAACAGGAAUCAAUAUUGAUUAAUACUUAAGACAACUCUGAGUGUCAAGAAUAGUUCAACUUCAAUGAACAUGUAGUUCCCAAUACAAUCCAGUAUCUAGCCAGAAUAGUUAUUCGAUAGUGAAAUCUAGGUGCGAUAACUUAAAAUAAUUGAUGCGCAUAAUCCAUAAAUAAUUCACACCACACGCAUCAGAAAUCGAUCAUAAAUCACUUUUUAAAUAUAAGAUGAAAUCACAAUAUUUUCAAGUUACUGUAUUUAACACAAAUUUGAAUCAAAGUGUAUUAUCCUCCCGCCAUACUCCGGGGUUGCACCAAGGUCCCAUCUGCCCUCGGGUCCCAUAGGUGUACAUAUCUAUUACACCCCUUUUUAUCUCCAGGUUUCCUAUUCCUUUAAGGGUCCUGUUCCACAGCAACCGCGUGUUAGAUAAGGGUUAUCUAACACACUGUACGGGGGUCAUUGGAUUUAUAUUUCAAGGGCUCAGAUCCAAUUUUGGGUUUUUAAUGUAUCCGCGGUUAAUAACCGCGGAUAGGGAGUUUUCCCUUCCGCGGUUUUUUAUAGCGGAUACAUUAAAAUCUCAGAUUGGAUAUGUGCCUUUGAAAUAUAGAUCUAACGCCCCCGUACAGUGUGUUAGAUAACCCUUAUCUAACACACGGUUGUCAAGGAACAUGACCCUUUUUUUAAUCAACCACACAAUUCAACUACCCCUGUUUAUACCUAUCCAUCUUUCUAAUUCUACCCACUACUCAGACCUCACUCCUUCAUCUUAUAUCAGCCUAUCCCUUUUUACAACUCAACUUAACACCUUAAUUAACCGAGCAAUACCAGUGCACACCACCAUCUCCUUCACUUGUAAGUUCAACCAUCUCCACUCAACUCUCCCUCACUCUCACCCCUGGACUCCCUCGAACCAGCUCCCCCAGCCUCCCCAUCCGCAACAACGACCUCACACCAACCCAAUCCGCCACAAACACCAGUACAUACACAACAGGCACAUAAAACCUAUAUACUAAACCAUGGAUUUGUUCGAUUAACUAAAAAGAAUAGAAGAAGUGGAGAUUACCGUGAUUGAUUUCGCCGCCACAA